GACGAACGCUGGCGGCGUGCUUAACACAUGCAAGUCGAACGGAAAGGCCCUGCUUUUGUGGGGUGCUCGAGUGGCGAACGGGUGAGUAACACGUGAGUAACCUGCCCUUGACUUUGGGAUAACUUCAGGAAACUGGGGCUAAUACCGGAUAGGAGCUCAUGCUGCAGGGUGGGGGUUGGAACGAUUCGGCGGGUGGGGAUGGACUCGCGGCUUAUCAGCUUGUUGGUGGGGUAGUGGCUUACCAAGGCUUUGACGGGUAGCCGGCCUGAGAGGGUGACCGGCCACAUUGGGACUGAGAUACGGCCCAGACUCCUACGGGAGGCAGCAGUGGGGAAUAUUGCACAAUGGGCGGAAGCCUGAUGCAGCAACGCCGCGUGCGGGAUGACGGUCUUCGGGUUGUAAACCGCUUUCGCCUGUGACGAAGCGUGAGUGACGGUAAUGGGUAAAGAAGCACCGGCUAACUACGUG
rnacentral:rRNA from 1 species